ensembl:lncRNA
UUCUGUCCUGUUAACCAUGUUCUUGCAUCUGUCCAUCUUGCCCUCUUCUUGUGAUGCAGACUCCUUCAUCCUUGGUGUGGAGAGACCCUUCUAUCUUCCCAGUCCUAGCGUGGACGUUGCUGAUCCUGAGGCCUUCUGCAGGCUUCUCAGCCAGUUGUGGCACUCACUGGCACCUGUGUUAGGGGCUCCCCACAUCCUGCCUGCUUGCUUGUCUGUCCUCUGUAAAAGGGAAGGGCUGAAUGCUGGUCAACUUUUCGUCUCUUCCCACCCAGCAUCUAGCAUAGUGCCCAGCGCCAUUAGGAAGCCCACAAGACCCCAUGUUUGAGAUUUUGCACAGAAAAGGGAGAUGUCUGUUGGACAGAGUUGGCUGGGCCAAAAUUUGCUUCUGUCCUCGGAGGUCGUUUUCUUCCCAAAGGCUUGGCCUCCGGAUUGUGGCUGCCUCCCCUGCCCACCUCCCCAGGGAGCAUAAGCCCCACUCCUUCACUGGCAAUGUGGCUACAGAUGCUUGUAUUUUUUUUUUUCACUUUAGCACAACCAAGGUAAAUAUUAAAUAUUUGAAAGAGAAUGAUGGGAGCAGUGGGGAGGACAAACCAGAGACUUGGGCCAACAGCCUCAAGACCAUUCAUUUUGUAGAAUGAAUGUUGGUGCCUGUCCGUGGCUGCCCCAGUCUGGAGGCUUGUGGGCCCCCUCCUGUUCCCAUGCUCUGGGAUACCUCCGAGGUGGAGCUGGGGAUACUUUUUUUGCAGGGGGGGUUGCUCUCAGUUUCCAGUUUCCAGGUGGCCUCUGAGUGGAGGGCUCCAGCUCACCGUCUUCUUGGUGGCUGUUCAUUUGUCCUUCGAUGGUCAAGGCUGAGGGAGGUUACACUGAGGGCUUUGCAGGUCCAGAUUCAGGUCUGUGGGAUCUACCUUUUCCCCUGGUGGUGGACAGUCUUCUGGAAACUGAAACCUGGUUGAACUUGCUUUUCAGUGAGAUCUUAUACUGCUGUAGGAAGAGGUAUUUCCUUGUAGGAGUCCUGGCAGCUUGACAACACAAGGACCAUAAGAGGACACAUGUGGUGUGUUAGUUUCUCUCAAGUGCUCAAUGAUGUCAAAAUAAAUGGAAAAUGCAGGGCCUUCCAAAGUGACUGUUUUGAGAUAUUUUAAGAUAAUUGUAUAUCAUUAAAGAGUGGUUAGUGUGAAAAUUGAUUUAGUAAAAGAUUAAAUAGUAACCAUUUUCUUAAAGCUGCAUAUAUACAUGGUAUUAAGCAAUAAAAACUCAAUUUAAGGCUGGAUGCGGUGGUUCACGCCUGUAAUCCCAGCACUUUUGGGGGCCCGAGGCAGGUGCACUGCUUGAGAUUAGGAGUUGGAGACCAACCUGGGCAACAUGGCAAAACCCUGUCUCUACAAAAACAUACAAAAUUUAUCCAGCAUGAUGGCACGCACCUGUAGUCCCAGCUACUCGGAGGCUGAAGUGGGAGCCUGGGAGGCGGAGGCAGAGGUUUCAGUGAGCUGAGAUCGCACCACCGCACUCUAGACUGGGCAACAGAGCCAGAACCUGUCUCAAAAACACCCAACCCUCCCACCCCCAAAAUUCAGUUUAUCUUGAUCUUCUUAUUACAGUAGCAUUUUAAAGAAGGUGCUUCUUAAUCACUUUGAAUUACUAAACAUCCAAGUACAAUUCAAGUUUUUUUUGGUGGUUGUUAACUUUUGUCUUCCCCCCCCCAAAAAAAAAAAAAAAAAAAA